rnacentral:lncRNA from 1 species
AAGAGCAUCUCCAAGGGGCUUUCUAAAUGAGCUCUUAACUUCAAAUUUAAAGAGCAAGACAAGAAAUAGAGCUCCAAUGGGCUCCUUGAAACUCUUUAAAAACUUAAGAGCUUAUCAUCUCUCCUUUCUUUUAAAGAGCAUGUAGGAGCUCUUAACAUGUUUUUCAUGAAUAUAAUAUUACAUUCCCUCCAACUUUAUCACAAACAUUUCUCUCUUUUCACUUUUCUCUCUCAUUUAUAUGAAUAAAAUAUUAAUAAGGAGCAAGUAUAAAGAGGAGCAUUGGAGAUGAAAUCUAUUUCAAUGUCUUAACUCACUAGGAGCCAAAUAUUAUAUUAUAUUUUGGAGGGUGAUUUAAGAGCCCGUUGGAGAUGCUCUAAG